rnacentral:sRNA from 1 species
UUUGAGACCCUCCUCCUAGCUGCCCAUGAGACAGUCUUCUCCUGUUUGCCUUCAGUCAAGAUGUAGACCUCUCAGCUCAUCCUGCCCCACAUCUGCCCGGACACUGCAAUGCUUCCCACUGUGAUGACAAUGGACUGAACCUCUGAAACUGGGUUUCCUGAAAAUUGGCAGCAGUCCCGAAGACCAUAUCAGUCCAAGUUUGGUUCCUUUGGCUGGCAAGAAGAUAUGGGGCAGUUCUCAUGACUUAAGAAGACGUUGGUAGUCACUAACUAUUGCCUUGGUUGUUUGGUUUAUAAAAUAGGAAUAUUCUAAUUGAAAAUUUUUAUCUUGCAUGUGAGUAUUUUGUCUUCGUGGAUGCCAGUGCACAAUGUAUGUACCUGGUACCCACUGAGGCCAGGAAGAGGGUAUAUUCCUUGGACUUGGAGUUACUACAGAUGGUCGGGAGCUGCCGUGGGAGUGCUGGGAAUUGAUCCCAGGUCUUCUAGAAGAACAGCCAGUGCUUUUAAGCACUGACCUGUGUCCCCAGGCCCUGAAAUACCUUUCAUUCACAAAUUAAAAUGUUAUUGUAAAACAGUGCUCCAAGACUCCAGUGCAUGCUGGAAGACGGGAAAACAGGACAGAAGCUGCGAUCGCUCAACAUUUGUCCUUUUCCUUUAAAACUGCAUCACCUCUUUGAGAGUUUUGAGUUCAUACACUGCUUUAACUGUAUUUGCUGCCCUAUCUUCGCUAUCCACCCAACUUUGUGUAGUUUAAAACAAAAACCCAAGUCCAAUUCGACUGUCCUGAUAUUCUUAGAUAUGUGGUCUUCCACUGGAGUGCGGUCAAUUUAUCUAGGCUAUUUUCUUAGAGAACACUGAUCCUCCCUCUCCUAGUAGCUCAAGAUUGCCAUUCACUCCACUGCUAGGGAUGGGAUAGUGUAUCCAACUCCCCUCUCGAUGUUGGGAUUCGGCUGGCUUGGGGCUAAGCAGACUUUGUGCAUGGUGUCACACACACCGUGAAUUCAUAUGUGCAGUCGCUCCCACCUCUUGUAGUCAUCCACCACCUCUGACUCUUACCCUCUUUCUGACCCCUCUUCUCCGAUGAUCUCUGAGCAGUGUAUCUGUUCCCUUUAAGGCUGAGGCUUACGCAGUCUCUCACUCUUUUCAGUUCAGCCUGUUGUUGGUCUUGUGUUAAUCACCCUCUGCUACAAAAAGAAGCCUCUCAAAUAUGGGUUGAAAGAUGUCUUGGUCUAUUAUAUAAUGGUAAGUCACACCCAUAGAGGAAUCUAUUCCUCAUGGCAACCAUAAAGUGAUCACAUCUAAUUUCUUAUUUAUAGAGUACCUGCCAGAUACAGUCACUGUAAAGUCAUCUUUCCUCCUUUCUAUUUAAUAAUGAUCUGUGGAGUGAUAAUUUGAGGCGGUGAGACUGUCUUGUUCUCAAACUUGUGCCCAAUGUCUUCAACAUAUGUUGCAAAUCAUUCUUCUGAAUAAAUUACCACAUAAAAGUUGUGAAAGAUGGAGAGAAGCUUCAGCAGAUAAAAGCCCUUGUUGUUCCUUCAGAAGAUGGAAGUUUGGUUCCUAGAAACCAUGGCAAAUGGAUUACCUGUAACUCCAGCUCUAGGUGAUGGGAGACCAUCUCCUGGCCUUCUCAGUGUGGACAAGGGCAUACUCAUAUCCUCACCCCCAGGCUGCUUCAACUUUCCUGUCAUGUGCAGAGGAGGUUUUAUGAGAUGCAUGGGAAUGCUGAGAGUUUCAGAUCGCAGACCAUAGUAAUGUUCCCUGCAUGGUGACCAGUAUCCUCUUCCUGGGGUUAUCCUCAAGCCACCGCACAGAGUUCUUGUUUCAGGCUCACAGAUUAAGACUUUUCACAUGGAAAUGACACUGGAAAUGUCAAAGGCCCAGAUGGGGUAGUGAAGACAAUCAGACAAGUACAGGGACCCUGCUGCCAUAACGUAUGAGCUGGCGAGGACCUCCAGGGUGGCAUCUCCCAAUGGCUCAGACUCUGGUGUGUGUCAGACAUGCUUGCACUUCUGAGGCUGAGUAUGAGUACUAUUGAGUUGGCUGUUUUGUUAUUGUUCUACAUCCUUGAAGAAAAGAGGUUGUAGAUUGUUAGUUUCGGGCAAGCCAUAAGACCCAGAAAGUACACAGCAUCAGUAAAGGAACGAUUAUCUCCUGCAUAUGAGGGGCAGCUGUGCCUCUGUGGAUGCUGUUUGCUUGUCCUUGACAAGAAUCCUCCGGUGAAGUCAGAGACCUUUACAGAGGCAGCAGGAUGCUGGGAAACAAGAAGACUUGUUGGUAGUUGUGCCUGAGGAUGUUGAAGUCCAAAUUCGACUAGAUGGCAGAGGCAUAGUAGCCCUUUCCUGCCCUUGCCAACCCACAGCACAGGAAUCUCAGCUACAACACGAUCCCCAAUCUUCUCAGGAUCUACCCCAACCCCCAUCAUUUCUACCAUAUUUAUUGGAUCCAUUCUCAGUAUGACCUGAAGAGUGUGUGCUGCAGGAUCAGACAGCGUUUCUCUGCAAGAACUAUGAGAUAUUACUAAUAUGUCCUGGCAGGAACUUGAGAACAUUCGUAGGAGUGAGUUUGGAAGG